rnacentral:rRNA from 1 species
AUUGAACGCUGGCGGCAUGCCUUACACAUGCAAGUCGAACGGUAACAGGUCUUCGGAUGCUGACGAGUGGCGAACGGGUGAGUAAUACAUCGGAACGUGCCCGAUCGUGGGGGAUAACGAAGCGAAAGCUUUGCUAAUACCGCAUACGAUCUACGGAUGAAAGCAGGGGACCGCAAGGCCUUGCGCGAAAGGAGGGGCCGAUGGCAGAUAAGGUAGUUGGUGGGGUAAAAGCUUACCAAGCCGACGAUCUGUAGCUGGUAUGAGAGGCCGACCAGCCACACUGGGACUGAGACACGGCCCAGACUCCUACGGGAGGCAGCAGUGGGGAAUUUUGGACAAUGGGCGAAAGCCUGAUCCAGCCAUGCCGCGUGCAGGAUGAAGGCCUUCGGGUUGUAAACUGCUUUUGUACGGAACGAAAAGACUCUGGUUAAUACCUGGGGUCCAUGACGGUACCGUAAGAAUAGGCACCGGCUAACUACGUGCCAGCAGCCGCCGUAACAC